rnacentral:rRNA from 1 species
GAUGAACGCUGGCGGCGUGCUUAACACAUGCAAGUCGAACGGAAAGGCCCAAGCUUGCUUGGGUCCUCGAGUGGCGAACGGGUGAGUAACACGUGGGUGAUCUGCCCUGCACUUCGGGAUAAGCCUGGGAAACUGGGUCUAAUACCGGAUAGGACCACUUCUUGGAUGUUGUGGUGGAAAGUUUUCUCGGUGUGGGAUGAGCUCGCGGCCUAUCAGCUUGUUGGUGGGGUAAUGGCCUACCAAGGCGUCGACGGGUAGGCGGCCUGAGAGGGUGUACGGCGACAUUGGGACUGAGAUACGGCCCAGACUCCUACGGGAGGCAGCAGUGGGGAAUAUUGCACAAUGGGCGCAAGCCUGAUGCAGCGACGCCGCGUGGGGGAUGACGGCCUUCGGGUUGUAAACUCCUUUCGCUAGGGACGAAGCGUUUUUGUGACGGUACCUGGAGAAGAAGCACCGGCUAACUACGUG